AAAGGUAAGCUACUAAGAGCGAAUGGUGGAUGCCUUGACUGGUAAAGGCGAUGAAGGACGUACUAGACUGCGAUAAGCUACGGGGAGCUGUCAAGAAGCUUUGAUCCGUAGAUUUCCGAAUGGGGCAACCCAAUGUAUAGAGAUAUACAUUACCUAUAUAGGAGCGAACGAG
rnacentral:rRNA from 1 species